CUUCAGUAACCCCUAAACAUGUUCCCCAAAGAUAGCCUUCAGUAACCCCUAAACAUGUUCCCCAAAGAUAGCCUUCAGUAACCCCUAAACAUGUUCCUCAAAGAUAGCCUUCAGUAACCCCUAAACAUGUUCCCCAAAGAUAGCCUUCAGUAACCCCUAAACAUGUUCCUCAAAGAUAGCCUUCAGUAACCCCUAAACAUGUUCCUCAAAGAUAGCCUUCAGUAACCCCUAAACAUGUUCCUCAAAGAUAGCCUUCAGUAACCCCUAAACAUGUUCCUCUGUUUUAUUGUUAUUGUACUUUCAUUCAGAACAGAGUAAAUCUGUUGCGUUGCUUUCUCAGAAGACACAUCACAAACGCCCCUGGACAUUUCUAUUAUGCUGAGUCCAAAGGAGCCCAGAGGAGUGAAGAGAGAGAGAACGUCAGAAAGACACUGAAAGAGUGUGAGAAAGGGAGAGGUUUUAACCAAAAUAUGAACAGCGUACAGAAAAAAAAGGUCUGUACAGUAACAUAGAGCAGUAGUAACAUAGAACUGUAGUAACAUAGAACUGCAGUUACAUUGAAUUGACUAACAGAGACUGAUUGAUGGUGUACUUGGACCCUGUCUGUAUGGGAUCUGGAAGUGUUCCUGAUGUUUACACAUUUCAUAUACAGCAUCACGCUUCAACAGAACUCAGAUAUUCAACAUUCAGAACAUAACAGCAUUUACAAGUACAUACCUGCGAGUGUUUUGUGUGGUUGCGUUAAUUAAUAUUGCUGGGGAGUUGAACGAACUCGGACACCCUUUAAAGAGAUCCCACGAUCCAAAAGAUAAGUGGUCUAACACAGGGCAACCCUAACAGCUGAUAUCAGAAGGCUUGUUGUCACGGUGAUGAGAGAGGCAACAGCCAUAAUCACAUGCAUAAAUACAGGACGUUACUAUUUCAGCCGUCGAUGAACUGGGUUGUAUAGGCUUGUGUGUGACUGGUGCUAGGAGUUCUUCAAGGGCUGAUAUGGUUGGCCAUGGUCUGCUGCUUCAAUGCUCACUAGCUAAAACUCCAAUCUGCGACAUAUAAUAGCUGUCUCAAACCCAGCAGCACGGGAUCUCAUCCAUCUCCUGUUUCACCUCCUGGAAGUGCCUAGGUGACUAGAGGUCAUGAGGUCAUAUUAAACAGCUGGGUCUAGCCCAGAGGAGGGCAACGGUGAGCAGGCUUUUGUUACAGCCCAGCAUUAACACAAGAACUGAUUCAACAAAUGAAAUAGUCAUGGUCUAAAAUUUGAAUCCUAUAUAUACAGUGCCAGACUGGAAUGAAAGCCUUUCAGAGUAAACGUUGGUUAUUUAAAAGCUAACAUUAUUAGCUAGCAACAGCGCCACCUGCUGUCUCCCUAACCAGUCACCAAACCAGCAGGCUAGGUUGCGCUUCAAACUGGUCUGAUUGGCUGACCAAUCACAAUCUCCUCAAUAAAUAAAUAAAUUAAUUGAUUAAUAAAUAAAUAAUUACAUUAUUUACAGCACAUCAUCAAAAAUCUAUCAAUCAUUAAAUAAAAGUGGCACUUGUUAACGACUUGUUAACAACCUGACAAAUUAGUUUUUCUGACAUUUCAUCUUUCUGUGAAGCAUAAAAACUAGAAGUAAUCUUCAGAAACCUCAAAUGAAAUACAUAGUUUAAAUUCCAUCAUGUCUCAAAGGUGCAACCAAAGCUCUGUCCAUGAGAAUAGGUCAGGGGGGGGACUUUCUUCUACAUCUUUGUUUGGGGGUUAAUAGUGCCAUGUUACUGAGGUGAGGAGGUAAGGUGUGGAGGUUUAUGUUACACUGUACACUACCAUAAUCUCCACCUGAACCUCAUAAUGAAACCAUCCUCCUGAGGAGAGAUGUGCAGAGAACACACAGCUUUGAGAAGAACUGGUUCAGAAGAGGUGGUUAAAGAGGAGAGUCAGAUAUUACAGGGACAAGCUGGUUCAGAAGGGAUGAUUAUGGAGGAAUGGGAGAAAUGACAGGGACAAUGUUCCCUCUAAGCUGUGUUGGAGUGCCACCUCCAGUGACGCCAGACAAAAGAAAGGCUUGCCCAGGGGCUUCCCUAUGAAUCCAUUUGUUGAUAUUAUUUGUUACUCAUCGAAUUAUUAACCAAGUUUUAGGUGAACCAUACUAAAAUAAAAAUAUCAUAAAAAAUACGGAAAUGCAUGGCAUACAUUAAAUAAUAUGCUAGAUUAAUGCAAACACAGAAAUUGGCCACAUCCUUUGUACCUAAAUGUACAAUAUUUUAAAAUAUAUCCAAAAAGUAUUUACAUACUUUUCUUAUUAUGGAAGUUCCUUCUUCGUCUUUUUCUGACAUAAUGCUCAAACAACCCAAUUAGUCAUUUGUCUAUCGUUUAAAACUGUACAGACGGUGAAAACGUGUGCCAGAAGUAUCACAACUUACACCAGAGAUCUGCUCAAACCCAAACAUGUUUAGAGGGAACACUGUUCACAAUCCAUCCCUCUAUCAGAGCCACCAUAUUAUGUCAGGGACCACAAAGCAUGCUGGGAAAAGGGCAAAGCCAUGUGUUAACUGCAGAUGUUGCUCCUAUCAGCUAACUCUUGUCCCAACCUGGCUUCAUACAUUAGGGGAAAAUAAAGCUCUCUGGCCUGGUAUCAUUCGGGGGAAAAUGUCACUCUCCAUUACGCUUUCUUCCUCUCUAUUGUGGACCCUCCAACGGUCUCUCUCUUUAUCAUGGACCCUCCAUCAGUCUCUCUCCAUCUCUAUCGUGGACCCACCUUGGUUUCAGAAACAGUAACACCUUUAAGACCUGUCAGGGCACUCACCUAACAAAUGUUGACUGUUACACUACAGAGAAAUAGUCAACAUUUGUGUUUAGUUGAUUCAGAGAUGCAACAGCUGUGUGUGUGUGUCUAAAAUACUGUGAGGGACAGUGUAAAAAGAGGUGCUGUCACGAAGCAUUGAGACAUUAAAUUACAUUUAAGUCAUAAUUAUGUUGGCAGGAUGCCAACAGGUAAAACUGUUGUAUGAAGGAUUAGUAUGAUGGGUCAAUUUCCCCCACUACUAAUUAAACAGACACCAAAUGGAAUGAAAACAGAGUUGCUGGAAAGGUCAAGCUUGACCAAUCAAAUAGAGUCUUAAUGAUCUCAGUCUGUCAUGAACCUCACCCUGACCUCUGUAGAGUCUGAUCAGAUGACCUCAGAAUUACAUCCUCAGGGUUGUCAGGUUGACCCUGUGAGGUUCUUCUCCAAAACCCCCAGUGUUAUCUGGGUAGUGUAGUUUCCAAAACCUCCAGUGUUUUUUGGGUAGUGUAGUUUCCACAAUCCCCAGUGUUUUUGGGUAGUGUAGUUUCCACAACCCCAGUGUUUUUUUUUGGGUAAUGUAGUUUCCACAAUCCCCAGUGUUUUUUGGGUAGUGUAGUUUCCACAACCCCGAGUGUUUUUGGGUGUUUUAGUUUCCAAACCUGAAAGCCCUGGUCCUGAAACCUUUACCAGUCACCCUGAAACACAAAGCCUUGGAUGCAGUUCCUCCAUCCACACAGGAAUUAAUUCACAGUUAUCCUCAAGAUUCCAAAAAUAAUGUUUACAAAAAUAAUAAUAGUAGUAAUGAUAUCCACAAUAAAACAAGACUGAGAGAAAUUAAUUGGCAAUGAUAGGAGAAAGUGAGGCGUUCUGCCCCAGGGGGUUGUUCUACCAAGUCAUGGAAAUGGAGGAGUUGUCCUGAGGAGAGGAUCAGACCUGGGCUCACCUCCACAGACAGGGAGGGAGAGAGAGGGGGUGUCUCUCUUCUCUCUCUCUCUUUUCUCUCAGGAGAGCCAGUUCAAAUAUUCCUGAACUCACCUUCAUACUUUUAGAAUAACAUAAUACACUUGAUGAUGUCACUACGUCACCUGAUGAUGUCACUAGAUCACCUGAUGAUGUCACUACGUCACCUGAUGAAGUCACAACGUAACAACCAAGCUAUGUGGGUUAUUCCGGUGGAGAGACUUGUUGCGUCUGUGUGCGUGCGUGGUAAAUGAACUGAACUCAUCCUACACCAAAGUCCUGUUAAACUGUCAUAUCUGGUCGGUUUGUAACAUUUCUUCAAACCUCUAAUGAAUUGUUUUGUUCCCUUUUUUCACUGGUAGAUCCUGGGUAAAGCGAAGGAUACAUCUUCAUCAGUCAUUGUCUAAUGUUCAUCAUUGCCUGUGUUUGUUAGGUUAAGGAGGAGGUGUGAUUUAGGCCAGGUGCUGAAUGCUGGAGACUGGGGAGGAGGUGUGAUGUAGGUCAGAUGAUUAAUGCUGGAGACUGGGGAGGAGGCGUGAUGUAGGUCAGAUGAUUAAUGCUGGAGACUGGGGAGGAGGUGUGAUGUAGGUCAGAUGAUUAAUGCUGGAGACUGGGGAGGAGGUGUGAUGUAGGUCAGAUGAUUAAUGCUGGAGACUGGGGAGGAGGCGUGAUGUAGGUCAGAUGAUUAAUGCUGGAGACUGGGGAGGAGGUGUGAUGUAGGUCAGAUGAUUAAUGCUGGAGACUGGUUGAGGGUCUGGGGGUAGAGGCCUACUGGUUGAGGGUCUGGGGGUAGAGGCCUACUGGUUGAAGGGGUGGGGGGUUGAGGCCUACUGGUUGAGGGUCUGGGGGUAGAGGCCUACUGGUUGAAGGGGUGGGGGGUUGAGGCCUACUGGUUGAAGGGGUGGGGGGUAGAGGCCUACUGGUUGAAGGGGUGGGGGGGUAGAGGCCUAC
ensembl:lncRNA